rnacentral:SRP_RNA from 1 species
GCUAGGCAUAGUGGCACACACCUGUAGUCCCAGGUACUCAGGAGGCUAAGGUGGGAGGAUCACUUGAGCCCAGGAGCUCUGGGCUGUGGGGUGCUCUGCUGACUAGAUGUCCACUAAAUUUGGCAUCAAUAUGGUAACCUCUUGGGAGCAGGGGACCACCAGGUUGCCUAAGGAUGGAUGAACUGGUCCAGGUUGCAAACAGCAAGUCAAAACUCCCAUGCUCAUCAUAGUGGGAUUGUGCCUGUGAAUAGCCACUGCACUUCAGCUUGGGUGACAUAGUGAGACUCUGUCUCU